AGACAGGCUUACUGUGGCCUGGGAUGGCUGUUAACUCCUAGCAAACAGAAACCCCACUUGGUGCCAGUAUCCUAGAGCUGCUGGUUCAAGGAAGCAGAUUGAAGUCUCCUCGCUUCCCCUCCUUACCCCUCUCUCUCCCCCUCCCUCCCAGCUACCGGAGUGCAAAGGGGACAGCUUUUGUGGGCAGUGAGGGCGACCUGCCAUAGGUAUUACUUCUCAUGGUGCUCCUUCUGAGUAAGGCAGUCAAACCUUAUACCCACGGAAAUAAUCAGAGGUCCCGGGCUUAAUCAGUUGGCUGUUACCGCUCUUAGCAAGUGCUGAGAUCCAAGUGCCUGGGAACCCGCCCUUCACAGAGGAGUUGACACCGAGCUAUCAACCAGCAAAGUGAAGGAAAGGCUGGUAUUCCUGCACAGAAAGAUAUGGAAAUAAAUGAAAUAACCCAUCCAAGGAUCUAUAAAUGGUAAGUCACUGGCCCAGUAUUUAAACUCUGGGAUGACCAGCUCCAAAGUUCUUUCUCACUCUGCUUUCACUGUCCUGGAGUUCUUAAGCAAACCUUGGAGGGAGGGAGAUGGAGCAUGAAGGUGCAGCCAUGUUGGACAUUUCCUAGGUCAAACUGGGAUGCUGGGCAGAUUCUGUCCCUGGCUGGUAACCCCUGGAUCAAGACCCCCUUGAAUCCUCAAGAGGACAGUAACUACUAAAGUCUGAAUUUGCAUCCUAGACCCUGAGUCUGGAGCCCGGUGAGCUUCUACUGGAGAAACUGCUGGCCAUCUGCCUGAUCUCAGAACCUACAGGUGGGGCCACAGCACCUCUGGACUCCAUCACAGGGGCAGCCCUCACAGUGGUCUCUGGCUGAGGACCUAAAGGCCAACACUGUCUCCUGUUCCAGCCAGACCAGGGCCUGGCCUGUGUGUGGGAGGUGGGAAAGAGUGGCCCUGGAAACCAGUGUCCUGUUCACUGACAGGAAAGAAGAAAUAAAAAACCAUUUGGUGUGACAGAUUGUCCCAUCUAAACUCAGGUUGGAGUGGAAAGGAGGGCUGGUGAUGGCAAACCCUGGAGAGCAAUAAAGCCCUCAUAUUUAAGGAUUAAGGUAUAAAGCAGGGUGGUUUCAUUACAAUCACCUGGGAAGAUCUUAAAAAUCCUGCUCCAGAUGACUUUGAUGGGCACCCAAAGUAGAGAGCCACUGGUUGGAAGUACCUCUGAAAGCCAAGUGAUAGAGAUUGAGCCAGAACAUGCUCCGAAGGCAGCUUGUUUCCAUCGAGGUUAGGAAAGCUGAAGUUUCUCCAACACACACCAUUAACCACAGUCUUUCCAGUAGGACAACUGGGGGCCACCUGACACUUGGCUCACUGCCAGAGCAGGGUACCUUUCAAUUUUCAAUAUUCCAUUGUGGGGUAAAAUUGGCACAGGGGAAUGAAGAAAAACACGUGUGAAAGGCAAUAGGGAGAAGAGGGACAUGACAGAUACAAAGAUACGCAAAGGAAUGUUGUCUCAAGGAGAGAAAAACCAGCCUUAGAGAGACAGAACUGGGGUGUUUAUAGCACUGGGGCGCAGAACGUGCUGCAGUCUCAGAGGAAGUGCU